GCUAAAAUCUGUAUAGGGUCAUAGAAAACGGUGGGACACACAGACACUGAAUAACGGGUCAGACUCAUACGGGAGGCAGCAGUCGGGAAUUUUGGGCAAUGGGCGAAAGCCUGACCCAGCAACGCCGCGUGAAGGAUGAAGUAUCUCGGUAUGUAAACUUCGGAAGAAUGGAAAGAAUAAAUGACGGUACCAUUUUUAAGCCCCGGCUAACUCCGUGCCAGCAGCCGCGGUAAUACGGGGGGGGCAAGCGUUGUUCGGAUUUACUGGGCGUAAAGGGCGCGUAGGCGGCGUGACAAGUCACUUGUGAAAUCUCCGGGCUUAACUCGGAACGGUCAAGUGAUACUGUCGUGCUAGAGUGCAGAAGGGGCAAUCGGAAUUCUUGGUGUAGCGGUGAAAUGCGUAGAUAUCAAGAGGAACACCAGAGGCGAAGGCGGAUUGCUGGGCUGACACUGACGCUGAGGCGCGAAAGCUAGGGUAGCAAACGGGAUUAGAUACCCCGGUAGUCCUAGCCUUAAACGAUGAAUGUUUGGUGUCUGGAGUUUGAGUCUCCGGGUGCCGUCGCUAACGCUUUAACAUCCGCC
rnacentral:rRNA from 1 species